rnacentral:rRNA from 1 species
UACGUAGGAGGCGAGCGUUGUCCGGAAUUACUGGGUGUAAAGCGCGUGUAGGCGGUGAGUUAAGUCUGUUGUGAAAGCGCCCGGCUCAACCGGGCAGAGUCAAUGGAAACUAGCGCACUGGAGGUCGGUAGAGGCGAGUGGAAUUCCCGGUGUAGUGGUGAAAUGCGUAGAGAUCUGGAGGAACACCCGUGGCGAAGGCGGCUCCCUGGUCCGAUUCUGACGCUGAGACGCGAAAGCGCGGGGAGCGAACGGG